UGAAAAUAUGAAACACUUUAGAAUUUGCAUGUCAUCCUUUCCAAGUGGCUGUGCUAAUUUUCUCUGUAUUGUUCCAAUUUUAGAAUAUGUGCUGUCAAAAUGAGCAC
rnacentral:snRNA from 1 species